CCUACGGGAGGCAGCAGUGGGGAAUAUUGCACAAUGGGGGAAACCCUGAUGCAGCGACGCCGCGUGAGUGAAGCAGUAUUUCGGUAUGUAAAGCCCUUUCAGUAGGGAAGAAAAUGACGGUACCUGACUAAGAAGCCCCGGCGAACUACGUGCCCGCAGCCGCGGUCAUACGUAGGGGGCAAGCGUUAUCCGGAUUGACUGGGGGUAAAGGGAGCGGAGGUGGCCAGACAAGUCAGAAGUGAAAGACAAGGGCUCAAGCCUGGUACUGCAUUUGAAACUGCCGAGCUAGAGUGCAGGAGAGGUAAGCGGAAUGCCUGGUGUAGCGGUGAAAUGCGUAGAUAUUAGGAGGAACACCAGUGGCGAAGGCGGCUUACUGGACUAUAACUGACGCUGAGGCACGAAAGCGUGGGUAGCAAACAGGAUUAGAUACCCCAGUAGUC
rnacentral:rRNA from 1 species